rfam:Nematostella vectensis strain CH2 x CH6 NEMVEscaffold_83_Cont11152, whole genome shotgun sequence.
GUUGUUGCAAUAGUAAUUCUGCUCAGUACGAGAGGAACCGCAGAUUCAGACAAUUGGCAUUUGCACUUGGCUGAAAAGCCAAUGGUGCGAAGCUACCAUCUGUUGGAUUAUGACUGAACGCCUCUAAGUCAGAAUCCGUGCUAGAACGCAACGAU